CGUGUGCUCCCAGAGCCAGUCUACCUACCCCUCGCUGCUUAACUUCCAACCUUGCUCGAACCUCUGAUCUCAUGCACAGGACCGCAUUGCCGAAAGUCAAACUAGGGACCAUCACCCCUUUCCAAAUCCCUCUCACCACUUCGUACCUAUUGUAAUUCCACAGUGCCCUAUUUUUCAUCACAGCUGCAUUUCUGCUACCUUUAGCCGUCACAUAUUUUUCAUGUUCCGUUAGGUACUCAGCCCCAUUGUUUAUCCACACUCCAAGAUAUUUGUACUUAUCCACCACCUCCAGCGUAACCUCCUGUAUCCUAUGCUCGCUGCCCUGAUUAUCAUUAAAAGUCAUGACUGCCGAUUUUUCUUUACUAAACUUCAAACCUAAGCUAUCUCCCUCUUUACCACAGAUGUCCAUUAAUCUCUGCAAGUCUUCCUUGCUGUCAGCCAUAAGUACAAUGUCAUCUGCAUACAUCAGUCCUGGUAAUGACUGUUUAAUCCAUUCUCCCUGCUUGAAAUAGGAAAGGUUGAAGCCAAGUCCGCUCCUCUCUAAUUUUUUCUCUAAUCCUUGUAAAUACAGCAUGAACAACAGAGGUGACAGAGGGCACCCCUGCCUAAGCCCCUGCUGUAUCUCUAUAGGCCCAGAUACCUUGUUUUCCCAUUUUAUAAGCACCCUGUUACUUUUAUAGAUAUCUUUUAAAAGAUUUCUUACUCCAUCUUCCACCUCUAGAGUGCCCAGUAUGUCCCACAAAUCCUUUUGGAUUACACUGUCAUAGGCUCCCUUGAUAUCCAGAAAGGCAAGCCAUAGGGGCCUGUGUUCCUUUUCUGCUAUUUCAAUACACUGUGUCAAUGAGAACAGAUUAUCUUCUAACCUUCUUUGUUCGCACACUAGGAGCACACAGCCGCACUGCAGCGCUCCUAGCGGCAGCGGCCGACAUUCAUUGCAAACGGUGCCACUCGGGAGGCUGCGGUUGGCACACUAGCCAGUAUAGUCUAGGCACUAUAGUUCGGCUACAGUGUAACGUUUGUUCGGCCCACUCGACCAUUGUCUAUAAUAGUACACUCUAGAAAAAACCAUGGAGGAAGAAAAAAAAAACGGUCGCUGGCGUACGCAAGCAAUGUCUCGUUCGUAGGUUCGUACAUUGCGCUAGUUGUGUGCUGUUCUAAGCUGUUCUAUACAUUUAUUUGAUAUCAACUAGCUGUGCCGACGCUGUUUGCCAUGUGUUUUGUGUGAUGUAGCGGUUUCGGUUUUGAAACCCACAUAAUCCGCACCCAGGGGACGCUGUUUGCAACUACGCCCGCCUAUAUAAGGACUUGUUUCCAAAACGAGUUCGUCUUAUUAUCCUGUCCCAGACUUCCUUAGGUCAAUGUGUCUGUGAGUUUCCCGCGUGCCUUGCGUGGCAUGCAUGGCCGCCACGCCGAUACAACAGUUUUGCAUCAGUGGUUUGUGACUUCGGCUGUAUUGCGUUUUUUCGCCGACGGCUUACUACCACAAUGGCGGGGUCUGCGUUCGCUACCUUCGUUCUCGAUCCGCCUUUGUACGUCGCACAUUCGAUAGCACUUUUUCAGACGGCGGGACAUCUUGGUGUCUGAGCGCCAGCUGGAUGGGCGGGACCUCAUCAUUAUGAUCAGUGAUGUAUGUUUUGCUGCUUGGAUUGAUAAAACAUGGGCCAAGGUUUCCAUACAAGAACAAAGUUCAAUUUGGCUGUACCACCAUCAGUGCUUGGGUGGCGCCUGCCGAAUGAAUCAUCGUAGAUUUUGCUUGCCUCAUCGACAGGCGUGAACAUAUCAAGUGCACUUCACGCUUGUCGUUUCUCGUGGCCGGGAAGUGUCACCGUCGGUCACCUGGGACUGAUGGAUGAGCAAUUAGUCCCCAGACUGGAAUGGGUCCUCGGCCUCGUGCAUAGCUGAAACGGCAACGAGAGACCCUUGGUGUGUUUCCGUGAAUUACCAGCGCCACCCGAACUACGACUAGUCCCGGCGCCGACUGCGACGCGCCAACCUGGAGCCCUUUCGAGACAACAGCCACCGACCCCUGGAAAUGGUGGCUUCCGUGAACUGCCCGCUACGGAGAGGCGACUCUUGCAAAGGGUCAGCAUCUACCAAUCCUGUGGGAGCCAGAUCAACGUUCGGUUCCCAAGGUGUCGACUGCUGCCUGUGUUCGGGGGCGACCUGGCAAGAUUGGAGGCGGAGCCCAGCGGGAAACGAUGGCACAUCAUGUUCGGGAUAUGGCGACCUGGUCCAAGAUGGUGAUUGGCUAAGAACUAAAGUGCAUUGCCUCGUCGAGUGAAGGAGAGGAAACGAAAGGGAUAAAACAAUGGGACUUGAGUGUUGUGAAGACGCUCUAUGUUGAAUGCUUGGAGAUGUAAACGCUACUACGUGCAAAGAUGUUAGCAUGUAGACUGCUCCAAUAUCGUGAAGCCCUUCUUGUAAAAUACCACAUGUAAAUUUGUAUAUAAAACAGUUUUUUGAUCUCUC